GGGAUUGCCUAGUUGGUAGAGCAUGAGACCCUCAGUCUCUGGGUCGUGGGUUUGAGCCCCACGUUGGGCCA